AUGAUCAGAAGCAGCCAAGGCUAGUACCGGGGAUGGGGGAAGGGGCCGACAGACAUCUAAGGUGAUGGCUUUGGAAGCAGCUGUGGCAGGAAGCCAGGACAACAUUCCAGCACACUCUGCAUGCACAAGGGGAAUGUGGCACGAGGCCCUGAGGACCAACCAAGGCGGGUGGCCCUGGGUAUCCACAGAGUGAAAGGCAAGAACUGGCUCGCUCCGACUGGAGAGUGGAGAGGCCCCGUCCUACCCUGGCCAGGAUGCAGGAUUCUCGAGACAUCUGCCAGAUAGAGCCCAAAUCCCAAUAAAUUCUUAACUUCCAGCA